ACGAGUGAAUACUAAAUCGGGAUUUCUCGAUAAACGAACCGAGCUCGUUUAUCAGAAUUUCGAGAACGAGCUUGCGUUUUCUAUAUUUAUAUAGAAUUACGAGUGUAAUGAAAGUGAGUAGAGGUUGAGAGGGCGAGUAACGAAGAGUAUGGGUUGUUAGUCGUUAAAACGAGACGAGACGAGACGAGACGAGACGAGACGAGAUAUUUAACGACUAAAUAUCUAACCCUACCCCACCAAAACCACCCCCCAACCGCCCAAGUUCAGUCAAACACUCUUAACUCACGUUGAUUUUCAGCCCACACACAACUCACACACACUAACACCUAAAACACACACACCAUUCACGCAUAUACCAUUUUUUAGCUUGAGCUCAAGCUUUUGAGCUCCGAUUUGAGCACCGAGAUGAACGCCGAUCAUCUUUUCGAUCACGUAUCUAAGUAGGUCCUUUUGGGAAGUAACGACUUGAGGGAGAGAGUGACGUUACUCAUUGAUACAGAGACACAACGAGGUUGAGCUGAUGUGAUGAUGGUGCUGCAAUGAGCGGAGUCUCCAGGGUUGUUAAUAAAUAGUUAACCUGUCUAGAAUAUGUCUUCAUACAUAUGUCUAGCUACUUUCCGCUGCAAGAUGUUGUUGAUGUUAUAGUAUGUUAUGUCAUACUUUGAGUCUUAAGAGAAUGGUUUCA